AUUGAACGCUGGCGGCAGGCCUAACACAUGCAAGUCGAGCGAGCGGCGGACGGGUGAGUAAUGCUUAGGAAUCUGCCUAUUAGUGGGGGACAACAUCUCGCAAGGGAUGCUAAUACCGCAUACCAUCAGAUGUGCCUAGAUGGGAUUAGCUAGUAGGUGGGGUAACGGCUCACCUAGGCGACGAUCCCUAGCUGGUCCGAGAGGAUGACCAGCCACACUGGAACUGAGACACGGUCCAGACUCCUACGGGAGGCAGCAGUGGGGAAUAUUGCACAAGGGGCGCAAGCCGGAGGCAGCCAUGCCGCUGGUGGGUAGAAGGCCUUCGGGUUGUAAAGCACUUUCAGCGGGGAGGCGUUACCGGCAGAGGAAGCACCGGCUAACUCCGUGCCAGCAGCCGCGGUAAUAC
rnacentral:rRNA from 1 species